rnacentral:rRNA from 1 species
GCGGAGGGAUCAUUACCGAGUUUACAACUCCCAAACCCCUGUGAACAUACCUAUCGUUGCCUCGGCGGUGCCCGCUCCGGCGGCCCGCCAGAGGACCCCCAAACUCUUGUUUUAUACAGUAUCUUCUGAGUAACACGAUUAAAUAAAUCAAAACUUUCAACAACGGAUCUCUUGGUUCUGGCAUCGAUGAAGAACGCAGCGAAAUGCGAUAAGUAAUGUGAAUUGCAGAAUUCAGUGAAUCAUCGAAUCUUUGAACGCACAUUGCGCCCGCCAGUAUUCUGGCGGGCAUGCCUGUUCGAGCGUCAUUUCAACCCUCAAGCCCCCGGGCUUGGUGUUGGGGAUCGGCGUGCCCUCGCGGCGCGCCGUCCCCUAAAUCUAGUGGCGGUCUCGCUGUAGCUUCCUCUGCGUAGUAGCAACACUCGCACUGGAUCGCAGCGCGGCCACGCCGUUAAACCCCCCACUUCUGAAAGUUUGACCUCGGAUCAGGUAGGAAUACCCGCUGAACUUAA